ACAGCCUACUUUUGCCCCCGGACUUUAAGAAGUCCUGUUCCGGGCUCGACCGCCGACCGGAAAGUCAAAUUAGCAGUGCCCAGAGCGCGUUUAGAGCAGCCCCUGCCCAAAUCUCAGCGACGGCCCCGCCCCUUCCACAGGUUCAGGCCCCGCCCCUCCCUGCUAUUGGCUGUCCCUCCCCCUCCGCUCGACCGCUCGGAAGACCAGGAGGAGCGGAGUUUUCUUAAGGCAGCAUCCGAGCGCCCUCGCUGCGCAUGCUCGGGGGAGGCGGAUUCCGGGUCCGGAGUUGGAGGCUUUGGGCGGCCGCGGCGUAGCGCGCUGUGCCGGGGCCGGCGGGAGGCGCGCGCUCGGGCGCGGCGCCGGCGACGCGGCCACGCGGCGCGCUCCCGAGGAAGGGAGGUGUGGGGUCGGCUGGGGGUGGCGCGUGGCCGGGGUGGGGGUGGGGGGAGGGUCGGGUGUCGGCAAGCUCCGCGUGCGGGUUCCGAGUGGCUGCUGGCGGCCUGGGCUGCCGGGGCCGACGCCUGGUGGCUGCCGCCGCCGCGCCUGCUGCGAGAUGGCGAUCUUGGGCGCGGAAGGGUGAGGGCGCCCGCCGCAGGAGGAGGUGCCGCUGCCGUGGCCGCCCGGGAGCCGACAGCUUCGCGCCGGGUAAGGACGGCGCGGCGCGGGGCUGGGGUGCGGGCGCCCAGGGCGGGAGGGGCACGGGCCCGGAGCCUUGGUCGCGGUGCUGGGCGCCCGGCGCCGUCCGCCUCCGGGCUGGACCCUCCUAGGGGCCGUCGGGGGACGGUCCGCCCUACCUUGGCUGCCUUCUCCAGCCAGGGAGUCGGGAGUUUUCUAGGGUGGGGUCACGGGUCUUGCCCGGAGUUCGUCCUGGCACAGGCCUGUGCCAGUGAUCCUGGAGCGGAGCGAAGUGUUUCCGUGACUCUGCAGCUGCAGUUCUUAGGCUUUCUUAGCCUUCUCUUCGCCUUCCUCCACCUUUCCCUAACACCUCUCUCAAAACACAAAUAUAUGGACUCAUUGCCCGUGCCCUGA
rnacentral:lncRNA from 1 species